GGACGCUUAGCUCAGUUGGGAGAGCAUCAGGGUCACUGGUUCAAGCCCAGUAGCGUCCACCA
rnacentral:tRNA from 1 species